rnacentral:rRNA from 1 species
CCCGCUGAACUUAAGCAUAUCAAUAAGCGGAGGAAAAGAAACCAACAGGGAUUACCCUAGUAACGGCGAGUGAAGCGGUAACAGCUCAAAUUUAAAAUCUGGCCUUCACGGGUCCGAGUUGUAAUUUGUAGAGGAUGUUUCGGACAAGGCUGUGGUUUAAGUUUCUUGGAACAGAACGUCACAGAGGGUGAGGGUCCCGUCUAGAACCAAUGGCCGCGUCCAUGUGAAACUCCUUCGACGAGUCGAGUUGUUUGGGAAUGCAGCUCAAAAUGGGUGGUAAAUUUCAUCUAAAGCUAAAUAUUGGCCAGAGACCGAUAGCGCACAAGUAGAGUGAUCGAAAGAUGAAAAGCACUUUGAAAAGAGAGUUAAACAGUAUGUGAAAUUGUUGAAAGGGAAGCGCUGGCAACCAGACUUGUGUGUGGCGGCUCCCCCAGUCUUCUGACUGGGUUAUUCUGCCAUAACCAGGCCAGCAUCGAUUUAGGUGGCCAGUCAAAGGCUCGGGGAAUGUAUCUACCUUCGGGUCGACUUAUAGCCCCGGGUGGAAUGUGGCCUACUUGGAUCGAGGAACGCGCUCUUGCCCGGAUGUUGGCGUAAUGGUUGUCAGCGGCCCGUCUUGAAACACGG